GUGAGGAAUAUUGGUCAAUGGCCGAGAGGCUGAACCAGCCAAGUCGCGUGAGGGAUGAAGGUUCUAUGGAUCGUAAACCUCUUUUAUAAGGGAAUAAAGUGCGGGACGUGUCCCGUUUUGUAUGUACCUUAUGAAUAAGGAUCGGCUAACUCCGUGCCAGCAGCCGCGGUAAUACGGAGGAUCCGAGCGUUAUCCGGAUUUAUUGGGUUUAAAGGGUGCGUAGGCGGCCUUUUAAGUCAGCGGUGAAAGUCUGUGGCUCAACCAUAGAAUUGCCGUUGAAACUGGGGGGCUUGAGUAUGUUUGAGGCAGGCGGAAUGCGUGGUGUAGCGGUGAAAUGCAUAGAUAUCACGCAGAACCCCGAUUGCGAAGGCAGCCUGCCAAGCCAUUACUGACGCUGAUGCACGAAAGCGUGGGGAUCAAACAGGAUUAGAAACCCUUGUAGUCC
rnacentral:rRNA from 1 species